rnacentral:rRNA from 1 species
GCAGCAGCCGCGGGAAAACAGAGGGUGCGAGCGUUAAUCGGAUUUACUGGGCGUAAAGCGUGCGUAGGCGGCUUCUUAAGUCGGAUGUGAAAUCCCUGAGCUUAACUUAGGAAUUGCAUUCGAUACUGGGAAGCUAGAGUAUGGGAGAGGAUGGUAGAAUUCCAGGUGUAGCGGUGAAAUGCGUAGAGAUCUGGAGGAAUACCGAUGGCGAAGGCAGCCAUCUGGCCUAAUACUGACGCUGAGGUACGAAAGCAUGGGGAGCAAACAGGAUUAGAUACCCCUGUAGUCCCUGUCUCUUAUAC